rnacentral:lncRNA from 1 species
GGACCAGACGGAGAAGGACCCAUUGGUGGCGGUGCUGAACUCAUUGAUGGGGUUGGUGUAGGAGCCAUUGGUGAAGGAGGUGAUGAGCUCAUUGAUGGGGUUGGUGCCAUUGAUGGGCUUGGGGUAGUUGGAACCACGGUGGGGGAGGGUGAAGAAGUUGGAGUCAUAGCUGGUGUCAUAGUGGUGGUGGGUGGUGGAGCUCCGCCGCUUGACGGUGGCAUUGUGGGUGAUGCCGAUGGGAUCUGAGAUGCUGAAUUUGAUAUUAAAGCAAUCAUUAAA